AAACUUUCAACAACGGAUCUCUUGGUUCUCGCAUCGAUGAAGAACGCAGCGAAUUGCGAUAUGUAUUGUGAAUUGCAGAUUUUCGUGAAUCAUCAAAUCUUUGAACGCACAUUGCGCCCUCUGGUAUUCCAGGGGGGCAUGCCUGUUUGAGCGUCAUUU